rnacentral:lncRNA from 1 species
UUAAACAAAUGAACUGAGUGAUUAAUUAAACUGUCUUUAUCCUGAAAUCUGGAUCAGCACUUCCUUUCAUGCAUUACCUUGCAUAUUCAUCUUAGUUCAUUUAUUCAAAAAUAUUUUUGAGUGUUUAUUCUUUACUGUGAAUGUCCUAAACUUGCCAUACAUUUGGGAUUUCACACUCACAUGGACCCGAUAGUCUUAGAACCUCUACAGUUGGGAGUUAUGAAUUCUCCGGGAGCAGGCUUUUUGAAUAAACAUGGUUUCCUCACUCAGUUAGGAAUUUGCUAACAUUUUCCUAGCUC